rnacentral:rRNA from 1 species
UACGUAGGCAGCGAGCGUUGUUCGGAGUUACUGGGCGUAAAGGGUGUGUAGGCGGUUCUCUAAGUUUGGUGUGAAAUCUCCCGGCUCAACCGGGAGGGUGCGCCGAAAACUGGGGGACUCGAGUGCGGGAUGGGAGAGUAGAAUUCCUGGUGUAGCGGUGAAAUGCGCAGAUAUCAGGAAGAACACCCGUGGCUAAGGCGGCUCUCUAGUACGUGACUGACGCUGAGACGCGAAAGCGUGUGGAGCGAACAGG